CUUCUCCAUUGUCUGCUAAUUUCUUCCCCAUUUCUGUCUCUCUCUCUAUACAACUAUGAAUUGUAUGCGCAUAUAUGUACUGAGACAUACAGAGCAGAGCAGGUAGAUUAAGUAUACGGAAUGAUGGAAUCCGAGAGGAGGGUUUUGAAGGAGGUAUCAUGAGGACAACGAAUCAAUUUUUCUUGACUGAAUUUCAUUUUUGGUCUUAUUAUUAUAGAGACAUGUACACUUUUAGUCCACCUUACUUAAUUUUAUCGUAUUGCAAGUUAACAACAACUAUUAUUUAACGUGUUUCACAUUUAGUCCA